GGGCCGGCCGGCCGGUCUGGGGCAACGAGCUGCCUGUGCCCGGCUGGGGGCUCCCCUGAAUGUGGGGGGGAUCAGUGCAGCCUCCGUGUGGGUGGGGAGCGCCCCAUGGCCAGCUCCCCGCGAGGGUGGGUUGAGGGGUCGCGUUGGAGAGUGAACGCCCUUGGCCAAAGGGUGCCAGGCACACGUAAGAUCCUCGCUCUUACGUCGGCGGCCCGCUGUGCCGGCGAGGGGGCUCACUUUGCGCGUGGUUUGCCGUCACCACUUUGCAAUAUCGGCUAUGGCGGCUGCUCUCCUAAAGCUGCUCCCUCUAGACCCAGGGGACGAAGGCACGCAAAGAUGCAGGAUGGGACCUGCCACGUUAUCCACUCUGGGAGCCAGGCUCGGCUCCCCACUUAGGAUCACGGUUCCUGGUGGCUGCUGUUUGUGCACUGCCUGGCCCAGAAAUGAUUUGGCUGAUGGUUACCUGCAGCUUGAUCUGAAAUGUAAAACUUCAGGUUUAGCUGCAAGCAAGUUGAAAGGUCUCACGCUGAGUGUCAGUCACUUGAAGCUUUUGGCCUGUCACCGGUUGAGAAAAGUAACAGUGAAAGUGGUCCUUAAGAACCUUACCGUGAAAAAAUCCACCCCAGAAGCAACACUACAGGAGAUAGUCAAAGAGCUGCUGAGGAAUGUGUAUGUUUCUCUUCACCAUGUUGUUACUGCUGCCCCAAUUCCUGGAAAUCCAGUGGUGUGUGUUGAAAUACUGGCUGUAGAUGCUUCGACAGAAGAAGCUGGCCUGAUAGCUCCCAAAACUAAUAUAAACAUUAAAGAAGUAGUCACUUUAGAAUGGUACAGACACUUGUCAAAGGACACCGCAAAAAUUUCAGUUGCAGGAAUGGAUGAUUUGGGCAGCUCUUUGAAAGAGAUGAUUGUUUUGCCUUUCCAUUUUCCCAAAACAUUCAAAAAGUUGGGUCUUUCUGCCCCUAGGGGAGUACUGUUGGUGGGCCCUCCAGGUGUGGGGAAGACUCUUCUCGUAAAGGCAGUUGCAAGGGAAGUGGGGGCGUAUUUGCUUUGCAUCAGUGGUCCAGCUAUAUAUGGCUCAAGACCUGGAGAAAGUGAAGAGAAUUUGCGAAGAGUUUUUGAACAAGGCAAGGAAUUGUCCAGUGAAGGACCAACCAUUCUCUUUAUUGAUGAAAUUGACUCUUUGUGCCCUAAACGGGGAAGUUCAAACAGCAUCCCUGAAAAUCGUAUUGUUGCUCAAUUGUUAACUCUUAUGGACGGCAUAGGCAGUGAAAAUGAGAUGGUCAUCAUGGCAGCGACAAACAGGCCCGAUGCCUUAGAUCCUGCACUGAGGAGACAUGGUAGAUUUGACCGAGAGGUUAUCAUUGGGACACCAACACUUAAACAGAGAAGGUCUAUUCUGCAGUUGAUUACUUCUAAUAUGCCUAUUUCCACUGAUGUUGAUUUGAUUAACCUAGCAGAAAUGACAACUGGAUAUGUUGGAGCUGAUCUUACGGCAUUCUGCAGAGAAGCUGCUAUGCAGGCUGUUCUCCACAGCUGUUUGGAUUCAGUUCACAUGUUGAUUAACAUGGCAGAUUUCCAUGAAGCUUUUAAAAAGAUUCAGCCAUCUUCCUUUCGAAGCAGUGUUGGACUAAUUGACUUUAAACCUGUUACCUGGGAACAAAUUGGUGGUCUUGAAGAUGUGAAAUUAAAGUUAAAACAGAGUAUUGAGUGGCCUAUGAAGUUUCCUCAGGCUUUUGUGAGGAUGGGACUGUCUCAGCCAAAGGGUAUUCUCCUAUAUGGGCCACCAGGAUGUGCCAAAACCACUCUGGUGAAGGCUGUGGCCACAAGCUGCCAUUGUUCCUUUCUUUCUGUUAGUGGUGCUGACCUUUUUUCACCUUAUGUUGGAGAUUCAGAGAAGAUUUUGUCUCAGGUUUUUCGCCAAGCAAGAGCACAUACUCCAGCAAUAAUAUUCCUGGAUGAGAUUGAUUCUAUCCUAGGAUCUCGAUCAGCCUGCAAAAUUGGACAUGGUGCCCCAGAGAAAGUUCUUUCUGUCCUUCUUAAUGAAUUAGAUGGUGUUGGCAUUAAAGUCACAGAGAGAAGAGGAAAUAAAUUACAGCUUGAAGGUGAUUGUCAAGAACAAAACGAAAAGGAGAGACAGAUAGAGUUUCAAGAAAUUUUGAACAAAGAUGUCAUGAUAGUUGCUGCAACAAAUAGACCAGACAAAUUGGAUGAUGCCUUGUUGCGUCCUGGAAGGUUAGACAAGAUCAUCUAUAUUCCACCUCCAGAUCAGAAGGGAAGGCUUUCUAUUUUGAAAAUUUGCACAGAAAAAAUCCCAAUAGAUUCUGAUGUGUCAUUAGAAUACCUAGCAGUUCAAACCAAACUCUUUUCUGGAGCAGAUAUUGAAAAUCUCUGCAAGGAGGCUGCUUUGCAGGCAUUACACGAGAAUGGACUUGAAGCAACUAGUGUGAAACAUGAGCAUUUUGUAAAAUCACUGAAGACUGUAAAACCAUCAUUAACUCCCUCAGAUUUGGAUUUUUAUGAAAAAUUAUUUAAUAAGGAAGUAUUCUCUUAUAUCAGAAAAAUCUGAAGAAUGACAUGUAAAAAUUGGAAGCUGAUUGGUCACUAAUUACCACUGUCAGUGCCCCAGAGGGAAUAGAACUGCAGGUCCUCAGCUGAAGUCAGACCUAAGGUGAUUGCAGUUGAUACCACAGGUUACUGCCACCCAGCACCUGGUCUGAGAAUAGGAGAAACACACAAUUUCACCCCAAGAAAAAGAGAAUUGCCUGAGGCCCAGAGGGGGUGUGCUCAAAAAGAUCAAAGUGGAGGAAGUGCAGUUAGCCUGUUAAUCGUGAUACAGAUCAUUGUCACAAACAAGAUCAUCUGCAGAAGUCACUGUCAAACAAAUACUGCAUCUCUACAAGACAGUCCACUAGGUCUGCAGCUCAGAUAAAUUACGAUUUCAAUCAUCUAUAAAAUGAGACAGCAGGACAGUUAAGGAUUUUUAAUUCACAUCCGUACUUAAAGGUCUAGUCUGGAUUUUGGAUACAAGAUCUUCAGGAGUAAAAGGCUUUUCUAUAAUCUUAAAAAAACAAAGACUGAAGUGCCAGAGGAUCCUGAGGACAAAAUGCUUGUAUGAAUAAAGUAUAUUAAGUGCCAUUGACUGUGGGAACUGUGAGCCACUAAAGUCAUGUGUAGGUUCCUCACAAUCUGCAAAUACGUGUAUCAUAUAACUUGUAUAGUAUUUUUAGAGGUAGACGUACCAGAAGCACUUUUGGCUAUUGCAGGUAUAUAGCAUCACUGAAAUGAAACUGCCAUUUGGUGGUUUGCCUGUUUUUGUGAACCCAUUUUGGGAACCCAUUUUGUCCAAAAGAAUCUUACAUCAUCUGUUGUUGGAUCAGUAAUGAAACAAGCAGAUACCAAUACAAGCACAAACCUAUUUAAAUAAGACAGUCCAGAGGUAAGUAAGUAAUUCGUGUUGUGGGGAAGAGUGGUGUUUUUACUGACAAUCUUUUUGUCAAUCCCCAAUUUCCCUCCUACAUUCCAUCAUCCUUUAUGCGUUUGCAUUGUAAUUGGAAAUGUUUGUUAAAAAUACACUGAUCUGGAAGUGAAUGAUUAAAUAUUUUUACAAGUGUC